AGAGUUGAUCCUGGCUCAGGAUGAACGCUGGCGGCGCGCUUAACACAUGCAAGUCGAACGGUUAAAGCACCUUCGGGUGUGUAUAAAGUGGCGAACGGCUGAGUAACACGUGGGCAACCUGCCCCUCGCACCGGGAUAGCCUCGGGAAACCGUGGGUAAUACCGGAUACUCCGCCCACCCCGCAUGGGGAGGGCGGGAAAGCGUACACGGCGGGGGAUGGGCCCGCGGCCUGUUAGCUCGUUGGCGGGGUAACGGCCCACCAAGGCGACUAUGGGUAGCCGGGUUGAGAGACCGACCGGCCAGAUUGGGACUGAGACACGGCCCAGACUCCUACGGGAGGCAGCAGUGGGGAAUCUUGCACAAUGGGCGAAAGCCUGAUGCCAGCGACGCCGCGUGCGGGAAGAAGGCCCUCGGGUUGUAAACCGCUUUCAGCAGGGACGAGGCGCGAGUGACGGUACCUGCAGAAGAAGCCCCGGCUAACUACGUGCCAGCCGCGGC
rnacentral:rRNA from 1 species